rnacentral:rRNA from 1 species
GACGUAGGGCGCGAGCGUUGUCCGGAUUUAUUGGGCGUAAAGAGCUCGUAGGCGGCUUGUCGCGUCGUUCGUGAAAACCCACGGCUCAACUGUGGGCUUGCGGUCGAUACGGGCAGGCUGGAGUUCGGUAGGGGAGACUGGAAUUCCUGGUGUAGCGGUGAAAUGCGCAGAUAUCAGGAGGAACACCGGUGGCGAAGGCGGAUCUCUGGGCCAUUACUGACGCUGAGGAGCGAAAGCGUGGGGAGCGAACAGG